ensembl:snRNA U6 U6 spliceosomal RNA
GUUCUCUCUUCAGCAGUACAUAUCCUAAAAUUGGAAUAAUCAGAGAAGAUUAGCAUGGCCCCUGGGCAAGGAUGCCAUUCAGAUUCAUGAAAUGUUCCCUAUUUUG